GAUGAACGCUAGCGGCAGGCUUAAUACAUGCAAGUCGAGGGGUAGCAAGAUUGUAGCAAUACAAUUGUUGACGACCGGCAAACGGGUGCGGAGCACGUACACAACCUUCCUACAAGUGGGGAAUAGCCCAGAGAAAUUUGGAUUAAUACCCCGUAACAUAGCGAUGUGGCAUCACAUUGCUAUUAUAGCUUCGGCGCUUGUUGAUGGGUGUGCGGCUGAUUAGAUAGUUGGCGGGGUAACGGCCCACCAAGUCUACGAUCAGUAGCUGAUGUGAGAGCAUGAUCAGCCACACGGGCACUGUGACACGGGCCCGACUCCUACGGGAGGCAGCAGUAAGGAAUAUUGGACAAUGGACGCAAGUCUGAUCCAGCCAUGCCGCGUGAAGGAUUAAGGUCCUCUGGAUUGUAAACUUCUUUUAUAAGGGACGAAAAAAGGUCUUUCUAGAUCGUCUGACGGUACCUUAUGAAUAAGCACCGGCUAACUCCGUGCCAGCCGCCGCGGUAAAAC
rnacentral:rRNA from 1 species